GAUUUUCCUUCUCCAUCUUCCCCAUGGCGAUAUGUUGCAGUGAUUCUGGGGAUCCUCUGUGUAGUAUUGUUGGGAGCUGUGGGGUUCCAGAGUGUCAAACGAGACAACUGCAGCCUUUGCCCAGAAAACUGGAUACAGCAUGAGGAGGACUGUUACCAUUUUUCUACUGAAUGGAGAACUUGGCAAGAGAGUAAAGAUUAUUGCUCUUCUCAGGGCUCCAGACUUUUGAAGAUACACAGCAAGAAAAAACAGGAUUUCAUAAAGCCUCUAGCAUUUUCUUAUCACUGGAUCGGAUUAUUCCGUAAUGGGAUCAACGAAUCCUGGGUUUGGAAGGAUGGCACAUCUCUAACCCUUAACCUGUUUGCAGAACAUCCAGAUUUUAAUAGCGGUGACUGUGCUGCUUUCAGAAUUGGAGAAGCCCACUCCUAUGGCUGUGAACAAUCAAAACCCUAUAUCUGUGAGCAGAGGGCUGCUUAGAUGAAGCCUGUUAUAGCAGCAUAAGAAAGACUGGAGAAAGACACUGAGGCUUCUUCAGUGGCCUUCAGUGCCUCACUGAGGCACAAAAAUUCAUGGAGCUCCUGGUAACUGGAGCUUUUAUGCUGCCCUUUAACAAGGUGUGGCAUGUGCUCCCCUCCUUGGCUGACCAUGGACCUGUUUCCUCCCCACCCCUUUUG